AGCUUUUUGAAUCCAUGCACGGAUUUCGUCAGACACCAACCCAUUAAGGCUGAUCAGAUUUUCAAGAUAAGUGAAGUU
rnacentral:pre_miRNA from 1 species